CUGAUGGCGGCGUAUGGGUGGAAAUCGGAAUCAAUCGCCCAAUUCCCCUUCGCACCGGAGAAAAUUAUCCGGUAGGGCAACGCCUAAACGUCAG
rnacentral:ncRNA from 1 species